rnacentral:rRNA from 1 species
UGUGUGUUAGUGGAAGCGUCUGGAAAGGCGCGCGAUACAGGGUGACAGCCCCGUACACAAAAAUGCACAUGCUGUGAGCUCGAUGAGUAGGGCGGGACACGUGGUAUCCUGUCUGAAUAUGGGGGGACCAUCCUCCAAGGCUAAAUACUCCUGACUGACCGAUAGUGAACCAGUACCGUGAGGGAAAGGCGAAAAGAACCCCGGCGAGGGGAGUGAAAAAGAACCUGAAACCGUGUACGUACAAGCAGUGGGAGCCUCUUUAUGGGGUGACUGCGUACCUUUUGUAUAAUGGGUCAGCGACUUAUAUUCUGUAGCAAGGUUAACCGAAUAGGGGAGCCGAAGGGAAACCGAGUCUUAACUGGGCGUUAAGUUGCAGGGUAUAGACCCGAAACCCGGUGAUCUAGCCAUGGGCAGGUUGAAGGUUGGGUAACACUAACUGGAGGACCGAACCGACUAAUGUUGAAAAAUUAGCGGAUGACUUGUGGCUGGGGGUGAAAGGCCAAUCAAACCGGGAGAUAGCUGGUUCUCCCCGAAAGCUAUUUAGGUAGCGC